AUAUAGUUUUAGAAAUGUGCACAAAACAACGAGACAAGAAAAGGAUUGUUACAGAAGCAAAGAUAACCAGGUGAUUCUGGCUCUGGUACCUUGACAUUCUCAGGCCCAACUGGGUCACCCCUUAAGCAAUUUCUGUAAAGAGGAAGAAAAUACAUCCAAAGUGCAGAAAGAGAUUCUGGGAUCUGGACUGGAGAGACUGAAGCAAGAAACCCACUGCCAGGACCCCUUCAAGAACAAAGCAGCCACUGAGGUCCAGUCUCCAAGGAAGAUGUCAAGGAGGGUCGCUGGCAUCUCAGGGCCCAGGCUCCAAGCUGCAGGAAAUGCCACGGAAAGAGCAGCUCUUUCCUCAACUUCCCCUUCCGAUGCUUGUCUAUGAACAGACACUAUAAUGUAAUCUGCUGUUUCACUCCAAAUGUUUCCAGUAAACCGAGCUCUACUUCAACCGCAAGGAUGCCAGAGGUUAACUAGAGAUAGAUAAAAAGCAGCAUUGUGCUGGUUAAACAUGUACCAUUCUUCUAUAUAUAUUUCCACAAAUAUGCUGCACAAGAACAAUCAGACCAAAAAAGAAAAAAAAAAAAUGAGAAAGAAAACAAAAUGCCGGGAGCCCAGAGACAAGAGUGUCUUAUUUGUGGAACAGCUAGGAGGCCGGUGUUAUUGGAUCAAAGAGUAAUUGUGGAGGAGAAAGGUGUAAGAAGACAGGAAAGGACACAGAAGGCCAGAACUUGGAGAGAGCUUGGAACAUGAAACAUGAAACCUAAUGGCCGGGACGGACCUUGGAACAUAGGAUCCAACUUUGUGAACCUCGGAGAUUGGGAGGAGGGUGGUACACUUGAGAGCAAUACAGAAGGUGAGAAGGGGCCAGGUUUGGGGGGAAAGUUAAUAAGUUCUAUUUUGGACAUGUUGCGUUUGAGAUGUCCAUGGAGCAUUCAGUUUGUAAUGUCUAAUAGGUAGCUGGUGACAUGUGAAUGGAGUUCACAAGAGAGACUAGGACUUUUUCUAUUUCUUUCUCUCUCUUUCUUUCCCUCCCUCCCUCCUUCUUUUCUGUCCCUCCUCUCUCUUUUUCUG